GAGUUUGAUCAUGGCUCAGAUUGAACGCUGGCGGCAUGCCUUACACAUGCAAGUCGAACGGCAGCAUGAUCUAGCUUGCUAGAUUGAUGGCGAGUGGCGAACGGGUGAGUAAUACAUCGGAACGUGCCCUGUAGUGGGGGAUAACUAGUCGAAAGAUUAGCUAAUACCGCAUACGACCUGAGGGUGAAAGUGGGGGACCGCAAGGCCUCAUGCUAUAGGAGCGGCCGAUGUCUGAUUAGCUAGUUGGUGGGGUAAAGGCCCACCAAGGCGACGAUCAGUAGCUGGUCUGAGAGGACGAUCAGCCACACUGGGACUGAGACACGGCCCAGACUCCUACGGGAGGCAGCAGUGGGGAAUUUUGGACAAUGGGCGAAAGCCUGAUCCAGCAAUGCCGCGUGUGUGAAGAAGGCCUUCGGGCUGUAAAGCACUUUUGUCCGGAAAGAAAUGGCCCUGGUUAAUACCUGGGGUCGAUGACGGUACCGGAAGAAUAAGGACCGGCUAACUACGUGCCAGCAGCCGCGGUAA
rnacentral:rRNA from 1 species